ensembl:lncRNA
GUGUGUGUGUGUGUGUGUGUGUGUGUGUGUUCACUGCUCCGGGUGUGUGUGUGUGUGUGUUCACUGCUCCGGGUGUGUGUGUGUGUGUGUGUGUUGUGUGUGUGUGUGUGUGUUCACUGCUCCGGGUGUGUGUGUGUGUUCACUGCUCCGGGUGUGUGUGUGUGUGUGUGUGUACUGCUCCGGGUGUGUGUGUGUGUUCACUGCUGUGUGUGUGUACUGCUCCGGGUGUGUGUUCAUGGUGUGUGUGUGUGUUCACCGCUGUGUGUGUGUGUGUUCACGGUGUGUGUGUGUGUACUGCUCCGGGUGUGUGUUCACGGUGUGUGUGUGUGUGUGUGUGUUCACUGCUCCAGGUGUGUGUUCAUGGUGUGUG